GAUGAACGCUGGCGGCGUGCUUAACACAUGCAAGUCGAACGAGAAGUGGAGACGGAAACCUUCGGGCGGAAGACUUUACUUCGAGUGGCGGACGGGUGAGUAACGCGUGGGUAACCUGCCUCAUACAGGGGGAUAACAGUUGGAAACGACUGUUAAUACCGCAUAAGACCACAGCACCGCAUGGUGCGGGGGUAAAAACUCCGGUGGUAUGAGAUGGACCCGCGUUCGAUUAGCCAGUUGGCGGGGUAACGGCCCACCACAGCGACGAUCGAUAGCCGAUCUGAGAGGAUGACCGGCCACAUUGGGACUGAGACACGGCCCAAACUCCUACGGGAGGCAGCAGUGGGGAAUAUUGCACAAUGGGGGAAACCCUGAUGCAGCGACGCCGCGUGAGUGAAGAAGUAUUUCGGUAUGUAAAGCUCUAUCAGCAGGGAAGAAAAUGACAGUACCUGAGUAAGAAGCCCCGGCUAACUACGUG
rnacentral:rRNA from 1 species